rnacentral:rRNA from 1 species
GCGUAAGCGCGCGCAGGCGGUUCUUUAAGUCGGAUGUGAAAGCCCAGGGCUCAACCUGGGAGCGGCAUUGAAAACUGGGGAACUUGAGUGCAGAAGAGGAAGGUGGAAUUCCCUGUGUAGCGGUGAAAUGCGUAAAUAUUUGAAGGAACACCAGUGGCGAAGGCGACUUUCUGGUCUGAUACUGACGCUGAGGCGCGAAAGCGUGGGGAGCAAACAGGAUUAGAUACCCUGGUAGUCCACGCCGUAAACGAUGACUGCUAGCUGUUGGGGUCUUUCCGCCCUUUAUGGCUGAACUUACCCCUUUAGUCAACCCCCCGGGGAAUACCGGCCCCAGGAUUGAACUUCAAUGAAUUGGCCGGGGCCCCCACCAGCCGUGGAACCUGGGGUUUAAUUUCAAACCACCCCAAAA